rnacentral:rRNA from 1 species
CGCUAUCACUCCUACGGGGAGGCAGCAGUAGGGAAUCUUCACAAUGGGCGCAAGCCUGAUGGAGCAACACCGCGUGAGUGAAGAAGGGUUUCGGCUCGUAAAGCUCUGUUGUUAAAGAAGAACGCGUAUGAGAGUAACUGUUCAUACGUUGACGGUAUUUAACCAGAAAGUCACGGCUAACUACGUGCCAGCAGCCGCGGUAAUACGUAGGUGGCAAGCGUUAUCCGGAUUUAUUGGGCGUAAAGAGAGUGCAGGCGGUUUUCUAAGUCUGAUGUGAAAGCCUUCGGCUUAACCGGAGAAGUGCAUCGGAAACUGGAUAACUUGAGUGCAGAAGAGGGUAGUGGAACUCCAUGUGUAGCGGUGGAAUGCGUAGAUAUAUGGAAGAACACCAGUGGCGAAGGCGGCUACCUGGUCUGCAACUGACGCUGAGACUCGAAAGCAUGGGUAGCGAACAGGAUUAGAUACCCUGGUAG